UAGUCCACGCCCUAAACGAUGAGGACUGGCUGUUGGUGCACAUGAUGCAUCAGUAGCGAAGCUAACGCGUUAAGUUCUCCGCCUGGGGAGUACGACCGCAAGGUUGAAACUCAAAGGAAUUGACGGGGGCCCGCACAAGCGGUGGAGCAUGUGGUUUAAUUCGAUGCAACGCGAAGAACCUUACCAUCCCUUGGCAUCCUCAGAAUUUGUCGUAAUGACUUAGUGCCUUCGGGAACUGAGAGACAGGUGCUGCACGGCUGUCGUCAGCUCGUGUCGUGAGAUGUUGGGUUAAGUCCCGCAACGAGCGCAACCCCUAUCUAUAGUUGCCAGCGAGUAAUGUCGGGAACUCUAUAGAGACUGCCGGUGAUAAGCCGGAGGAAGGUGGGGACGACGUCAAGUCAUCAUGGCCCUUACGGGAUGGGCUACACACGUGCUACAAUGGUGCAUACAGAGGGUUGCCAACCAGCGAUGGGGAGCUAAUCUCAG
rnacentral:rRNA from 1 species